UUCUCCAUCAGUCAACUGUGCAGUCACGUUUCCUCACUGCUAGUAAAAUAUAUAUAUAUAUAUAAAAGUUCUCGGGGUCAUAGAAAGAUGCUUUCAGCACCCAUGUGCCUCUUGUUUUCCAGCUUUUGAAGUCACAAGUUUCACAGUAUUCUCCAGCUUUUGAAGUCACAAGCCUCACAACUCCAGUCACAGGCCUUACAGUUCCCAGUUCACAAGCUUAACAGUUAUCCACUUUGCCUAUAAAAGAAGCUCCUCAGUCAAGGCCAUUUCAGAGUUGGAAAGAGGUUCUAUCAAAUCUCGAUUGUUGUAGCACUGAAGUUUCUGCAAAAUUUCAGUAUUCAUCUUCGGCUGUCAAUGAAGAAGAAAGCUCCAAUCAUCUUCUGGAAAGUAUCAUUGUUGAAAAAUUUGAUAACCUAACUAAUGAAGUUGAAUCUGACGAGGUUCUUGAUUGUUCAAUACCUGAAAACGCGAGUGACCCAGGAUCUUUCUCAACAGUUGAUGAAAAUAAUGAAAAUUCCCAUACUAAAUCUUCUGCCAGUGGAAGUUCUAGCGACAGCCCGACUUUGUCUGCGAUUCUUAGGAUGGAUUCAGUGGCUCGAUUGUCAAUGCUGAGGAAACGGAUAAGCUUGGUGGAGAACGUGACCGCUCUGUCAAGGAACGAUUGUGCAUGGCUGUUUGCUCUGUGCGCUGCAAUCGACACUCCACUAGAUGCUGACACGUGUGCAGCCCUUAGGUGUUUGCUGAGGAAGUCUGCAAGCUUGCGAGCUGCAAAAUCUGAAGUCAAUGAUGAAGUUGUCAUGCUUAAUAUUCUGGUAACGAUUACGGGUAAAUACUUUGGGCAGUUAGAAUACUGAGGUUCUUAUAAGUUCAUCUGGGGCAUUGCAAUGGCCAUGGAUUGUGCUUGCGUUUUUUGUUUUUGUUUUUGUUUUUGUUUUCAAUCCAGGGUGUAAUUUGUUUUAUUUGCUCAAUAUAAUGGUUGUCUAUGCCACACUUGGUAAAUGAAUGUGUUACCACAGAAAUGCAUAUGUUGUUUACUUUGGCAUGCAUGUUUGAUUCUCAGUUAUGAGGAUGAACAAUGGAUUAGGUUGUUAUCUUUUGCGUCCAUUGAGAAGAAAAUAAAGAAAACAUAGGACCUGUUUGGUUGGUGUA